rnacentral:lncRNA from 1 species
UUAUCUUCUGUUGGGAAAUUCCAGCAACAGGGACCUUGUUUCAGAGCUACCGGACUGUAACAUCUGGUAGCGAUCCCUGAAAGAGUAAUCGGGAGAAGCACUGGUUGGAGGGUUGAGGAGGGGGAACUCAACACCCCACCUCCAACCCCCAAAAGAAACCUCUGUGGCACGAGCUCUCUGAGUUCUUGGAAUGAUUCUGACGUCCAUCGUAGCAGAUAAGUGAAGUUGUCCUCAUCCGGAAAU